rnacentral:rRNA from 1 species
GACGAACGCUGGCGGCGUGCCUAAUACAUGCAAGUCGAACGCUGAAGGAGGAGCUUGCUUCUCUGGAUGAGUUGCGAACGGGUGAGUAACGCGUAGGUAACCUGCCUGGUAGCGGGGGAUAACUAUUGGAAACGAUAGCUAAUACCGCAUAAGAGUAGAUGUUGCAUGACAUUUGCUUAAAAGGUGCAAUUGCAUCACUACCAGAUGGACCUGCGUUGUAUUAGCUAGUUGGUGGGGUAACGGCUCACCAAGGCGACGAUACAUAGCCGACCUGAGAGGGUGAUCGGCCACACUGGGACUGAGACACGGCCCAGACGCCUACGGGAGGCAGCAGUAGGGAAUCUUCGGCAAUGGACGGAAGUCUGACCGAGCAACGCCGCGUGAGUGAAGAAGGUUGUCGGAUCGUAAAGCUCUGUUGUAAGAGAAGAACGAGUGUGAGAGUGGAAAGUUCACACUGUGACGGUAGCUUACCAGAAAGGGACGGCUAACUACGUG